rnacentral:rRNA from 1 species
AGUGAACGCUGGCGGUAGGCCUAACACAUGCAAGUCGAACGGCAGCACAGGAGAGCUCGCUCUCUGGGUGGCGAGUGGCGGACGGGUGAGGAAUACAUCGGAAUCUGCCCGGUCGUGGGGGAUAACGUAGGGAAACUUACGCUAAUACCGCAUACGACCUUCGGGUGAAAGAGGGGGAUCGCAAGACCUCUCGCGAUUGGAUGAGCCGAUGUCGGAUUAGCUAGUUGGCGGGGUAAUGGCCCACCAAGGCGACGAUCCGUAGCUGGUCUGAGAGGAUGAUCAGCCACACUGGAACUGAGACACGGUCCAGACUCCUACGGGAGGCAGCAGUGGGGAAUAUUGGACAAUGGGCGCAAGCCUGAUCCAGCCAUACCGCGUGGGUGAAGAAGGCCUUCGGGUUGUAAAGCCCUUUUGUUGGGAAAGAAAUCUUUCAGGCUAAUACCCUGGGAGGAUGACGGUACCCAAAGAAUAAGCACCGGCUAACUUCGUG